UACGUAGGGGGCAAGCGUUAUCCGGAAUUACUGGGUGUAAAGGGCGAGUAGGCGGCAUGGUAAGCCAGAUGUGAAAGCCUUGGGCUUAACCCGAGGAUUGCAUUUGGAACUAUCAAGCUAGAGUACAGGAGAGGAAAGCGGAAUUCCUAGUGUAGCGGUGAAAUGCGUAGAUAUUAGGAAGAACACCAGUGGCGAAGGCGGCUUUCUGGACUGAAACUGACGCUGAGGCACGAAAGCGUGGGGAGCGAACAGG
rnacentral:rRNA from 1 species